rnacentral:rRNA from 1 species
GUGAACGCUAGCUACAGGCUUAACACAUGCAAGUCGAGGGGCAGCAUGAACUUAGCUUGCUAAGUUUGAUGGCGACCGGCGCACGGGUGAGUAACACGUAUCCAACCUGCCGAUGACUCGGGGAUAGCCUUUCGAAAGAAAGAUUAAUACCCGAUGGCAUAGUUCUUCCGCAUGGUAGAACUAUUAAAGAAUUUCGGUCAUCGAUGGGGAUGCGUUCCAUUAGGUUGUUGGCGGGGUAACGGCCCACCAAGCCUUCGAUGGAUAGGGGUUCUGAGAGGAAGGUCCCCCACAUUGGAACUGAGACACGGUCCAAACUCCUACGGGAGGCAGCAGUGAGGAAUAUUGGUCAAUGGACGAGAGUCUGAACCAGCCAAGUAGCGUGAAGGAUGACUGCCCUAUGGGUUGUAAACUUCUUUUAUACGGGAAUAAAGUGAGGCACGUGUGCCUUUUUGUAUGUACCGUAUGAAUAAGGAUCGGCUAACUCCGUGCCAGCAGCCGCGGUAAUACGGAGGAUCCGAGCGUUAUCCGGAUUUAUUGGGUUUAAAGGGAGCGUAGGCGGACGCUUAAGUCAGUUGUGAAAGUUUGCGGCUCAACCGUAAAAUUGCAGUUGAUACUGGGUGUCUUGAGUACAGUAGAGGCAGGCGGAAUUCGUGGUGUAGCGGUGAAAUGCUUAGAUAUCACGAAGAACUCCGAUUGCGAAGGCAGCCUGCUGGACUGUAACUGACGCUGAUGCUCGAAAGUGUGGGUAUCAAACAGGAUUAGAUACCCUGGUAGUCCACACAGUAAACGAUGAAUACUCGCUGUUUGCGAUAUACAGUAAGCGGCCAAGCGAAAGCGUUAAGUAUUCCACCUGGGGAGUACGCCGGCAACGGUGAAACUCAAAGGAAUUGACGGGGGCCCGCACAAGCGGAGGAACAUGUGGUUUAAUUCGAUGAUACGCGAGGAACCUUACCCGGGCUUGAAUUGCAACUGAAUGAUGUGGAGACAUGUCAGCCGCAAGGCAGUUGUGAAGGUGCUGCAUGGUUGUCGUCAGCUCGUGUCGUGAGAUGUUGGGUUAAGUCCCGCAACGAGCGCAACCCUUAUCCUUAGUAGCCAGCAGGUAGAGCUGGGCACUCUAGGGAGACUGCCAGGGAUAACCUGGAGGAAGGUGGGGAUGACGUCAAAUCAGCACGGCCCUUACGUCCGGGGCUACACACGUGUUACAAUGGGGGGUACAGAAGGCAGCUACACGGCGACGUGAUGCUAAUCCCGAAAGCCUCUCUCAGUUCGGAUUGGAGUCUGCAACCCGACUCCAUGAAGCUGGAUUCGCUAGUAAUCGCGCAUCAGCCACGGCGCGGUGAAUACGUUCCCGGGCCUUGUACACACCGCCCGUCAAGCCAUGAAAGCCGGGGGUACCUGAAGUGCGUAACCGCAAGGAGCGCCCUAGGGUAAAACUGGUGAUUGGGGCU